UACGUAGGGGGCAAGCGUUGUCCGGAUUUAUUGGGCGUAAAGAGCGUGUAGGCGGCUUGGUAGGUCCGCUGUGAAAACUCGAGGCUCAACCUCGAGAUGUCGGCGGAAACCACUUGGCUAGAGUCCGGAAGAGGAGAGUGGAAUUCCUGGUGUAGCGGUGAAAUGCGCAGAUAUCAGGAAGAACACCCGUGGCGAAGGCGGUUCUCUGGGACGGUACUGACGCUGAGACGCGAAAGCGUGGGGAGCGAACAGG
rnacentral:rRNA from 1 species